CAUAUUUAAUAUGUAAAACAAAAAAUAUGUAGUAAUAAGUAACAAUUAUAAUUAAGAAGCUAUUGCUAAUUUAAGUUACAAUUUAUAUUUGCAUAUUUUUAUUUUACAUAUUAAAUAUGAAGUGAGCGUUCCAGAGGCUGACUCUGCAGCAAGUACAGCUGACCGGAGCUGUUACCCAGAGCGGGUGCGAGGCCCAUAGCUGUCAAAUUCAGCCCCAUAGCUGUCAAAGUGUCCUUCGGAUGCGAUCUCCUGGGAGUCGGGUUGCUUGGAAGUGCAACUCUAAUCUAGUGGUAAACUCUACCUAAGGCUAAGUACUACCCGUUGACCGAUAGCAAAGAAGUACCGUGAGGGAAAGUUGCAAAGAACUUUGAAGAGAGAGUUCAAGAGUGCAUGAAACUGCUCAGAGUAAACGGCUGGGCCCUCGAAAGCCUGUGGCGGGAGGAUUUAGUUGGGCUUUCGUGGCAGCACUGACCGAUUGACCAAAACGGUUACCAAUGUUUUUUGCCAGACGAAUCUGACCAUCAGUAAUGAUCCUUCCGCAGGUUAACCUACGGAAACCUUGUUACGACUUUUACAUCCUCUAAAUGAUCAAGUUUGGUCAUCUUUCCGGAACGCCGAAGGGACCCGAAAGCCGCUUCGAGAGCCAGUCCGAAAAC
rnacentral:ncRNA from 1 species